GUGGGUCUUGAGUUUAGGAAAGCUGGGACUAGAUAAGGUUGGAACAUCAAUUCUGUGUUCCUAUUUGUUUUUUUUUUUUUUUUUUUUGAGACAAGGUCUUACUCUGUAUUCCAGGCUGGUUUUGAACUCACAUGAUCCUCCUGCCUGAACCUACCAAGUGCUGGGAUGACAGGCAUGCGCCUCCACAGCUGGCAUAUUCCCUGUUGUUUUAAUGGCCAAACACCUGAUGAUACCAUUUUUUUCCACCAAAAUACCAUGUUAUGAAUUAUGGUAUGAUAUAAAAUCAUAAUACCCACAUAUGGAACUUAAGUAGUUUACAUAUUCCACAGCAGAAUUUUCUCCAGUGCUAUAUAGCAUGACAUAGGAUUCUGUGCCUUUUGUUAAAAAGUACUCAAGAUUUAUUCAGGGGUAGUCGUCUGUUUUUUUUUUUUUUUUUUGGUACUGGGGAUCGAACUUGGGUACUUGCGCUUGCGAGGCAGGUGGCAGAACCACUGAGCUAAAUCCCUGGCAUUCAGGGGUAGUCUUAAUGAUGUGUGGCUGGAGGUUGAGUAGCAAUUUAUUUUGUGACAUCUUUCAGGCUUUAAGUUAAAGGAAAUCACCUCUCAAAUUUGUGUAACGUACUCACUGAUCAGUGUAACCCUAAUUUUUCUUAAUAUUUGUCUAAAGCACAGUAGUAGUGAUGCUGGCAAUUCAGAUAUGCCAAAGAAAACCCAUAAAGUGGAUCCUUUAAGUAUCAUCAUCUAUUACAGAUGGGUUGUUGCGGUACAAGAUAUUUUGAGAGACUACACUUAAAUAACUUUUAUUAUAGUACAUUGUUAUAAUUGUCGGUUUUUAUUAAGUAUUAUGGUUAACCUCUUACAUUGCUAAUUUGUAAAUUAAAUAUCAUGAUAUGUAUCUAUAGGAAAAACAUGGUAUAUAUAAGGUUUGGUAACAUGUGCGAUUUCAGGAAUUCACACUAGGAAUUCCUAGUGGUCCCGGAACACAUCCAAGGAUAAAGAGGAACUACCGUAGAAGUUUUAAAAGUAUCUAAAAUAAAACUUCAGAGCUCUUCAUUCAAUCUUUUGAGAGCUUCAUGUAAACCAUCAUGUGGGAUGAAUCAGCUGCACAUGCCAGCUCUUCCUUCCUCUACUACAGGUCCUGGUUGCUAUGGCUUCUCAUUAGCUUCUUAAGAUCCCUUUGGAGCCCUGGUUGCCUGGCAGGAGAAAAGGCAGAAGCUGCUAGAAGCUGUGAGGACAGAUGCAAGCUGCAGAAGUAGCCCCUGGGGGAACACUGGG
rnacentral:lncRNA from 1 species